CUCAGCGACAACACAACCAUCGACCGCUGGUUCGACGUCCUUGGCGCCGACAGGAAGAAGCUCCCGGAUGGGCCCAAGAUACACCUGCAGAUCAACUUCCGUGAUGUCGCUGACCAGGGCCAGGCAUGGGGCGGCGGCGUCGGCAGCUUCGGGGUGCCCCGCACCUUCUUCUCGCAGAGGCCCGGGUGCAGGGUCACGCUGUACCAAGACGCACACGCGUCUGAGGAGUUCGAGCCCAAGAUCCAGCUCGACGGCGGCGGGCUGUACAAGCCUGGGCACUGCUGGGAGGACCUGUACGACGCCAUCAGCAACGCACGGCACCUGGUGUACAUCACCGGCUGGUCCGUGUUCCCCCACAUCACGCUCCUGCGGGAGCGGGACGGCCAGCAGGAAACGCUCGGCGAGCUCCUGAAGCGCAAGGCCGGCGAGGGCGUGCACGUGCUCAUGCUCGUGUGGAACGACGUAUCCUCCAUCGAUGGCUUGCUUGCCGGCCUCAUGGACACGAGGGACGAGCAGACGGCCAACUACUUCGGCGGCAGCCGCGUGCAGUGCGUCCUCUGCCCGAGGAACAUGUACGUCAGAGGCCACAUCUUGGACGCCAAGAUGGAUACGUUAGUCUACAGCCACCACCAGAAGGCCAUCGUCGUCGACCAGGAGCUACCGCCUUCAUCGUCGGACUCGGACGGGCGCCGCCAUAUCGUCAGCUUCCUCGGCGGCCUCGACGUGUGCCACGGACGCUACGACACGCAGUCCCACUCCCUGUUCAAGACGCUGGGCGCGGGGAAGGCGCACGGCGACGACUUCAGCCAAGUCAACUUCAACGACGAGAACGCCACGCUCGGCAAGGGCGGGCCCAGGGAGCCAUGGCACGACAUCCACGCCAAGGUCGAGGGCCCCGUCGCGUGGGACGCGCUCCACAACUUCGAGCAGCGGUGGAGGAAGCAAGGCGGCGACAAUGAGCAGCUGGUCGACCUUGUGGCCCUCGACCUCGAGGGCAAGGUCACGCCGGCCUCGUGGGCGGUCACGCUCCCCGGCGACCAGGAGGCGUGGAGUGUGCAGCUGUUCCGGUCCAUCGACAACAUCGACACCGUGGGCUUCCCCGACUCCAUGGAGGCCGCCUUCAAGGCCGGUCUCCUCCAGGACAAGCACCGGGUGUAG
rnacentral:rRNA from 1 species